UAUAUUGACCUACUGUGUGCUAUUUGUCAUCAGGAAAUCAGUCCUGAAUAUUCAUUGGAAGGACUGGUGCUGAAGCUGAAGCUCCAAUACUUUGGCCACCUGAUAGGAAGAUCUGUCUCAUUGGAAAAGACCCUGAUACUGGGAAGACUGAAGUCAGGAGGAGAAAGGGGACGACAGAGGAUGAGAUGGUUGGAUGGCAUCACUGACUCGAUAGACAUGAGUUUGAGGAAGCUCUGGGAGUUAAUGAUGGACAGGGAGGCCUGGCGUGCUGCAGUCCAUGGGGUUGCAAAGAGUCAGACACAACUGAGCGACCGAACUGGACUGAUCUACCUGAUCUUAUGAGGAGGACAUUUUAUGAGGAAACUGAGGCUUUGGACUUACGCUGGUCUCCUUGAUUCUGAAGGAUUCUCAGCAUGGCUGGGGCCCUGUGCACUGAGCACAGCAGUGACCUCGCCCGACAAGCACAACAGCCAGCCCAACAGACCUCACUCGGCAAGUGCCUCGCCCAGGACACACCCUGCUGACAAAAGCUACCGCGUGGAGGAGGACGGGUUAAGAUGUACCUGUUGGAUGAACCAUGAAACCUAUCCAGCAAAAUGCAACUGGAAGAUAUCUGAGCCUGAUCCAGAGAGCAUGUCAGAAAGGAAAUGGGACCAGAUACCAGGUAAAUAGAGUUGGAAAGAAACAGGUCUGCACUCAGCUCUCAGCUGAGCCCUCCUGGGGGCCUGGUCAGGUUAUGCCGCACCAUCUGUGAGUUUCAGGCUGGAAGUUGUAUGCUUUGGGAGCAGUCCGGAGCCGGUCAUUUGGCCCCAUUUGGGACCUCCAAACUUGUGCUGCAGGAGAUUGGAAAAAAUAUGCCCUUGCAGUGUCAGGGCACACAGGUGUUGGAGUCCUGUCUGGGGUAGAGUGGAGAGAAUCACUGCAUGUGCCCAGGGGUGGGCAAGGCAACCUCCCCUCUGACCCCCAAAGACCAGAGCCAGCAUAAGCGACAGCAAUUCCACCCAGGACUCCCACUCUGAAGUGCUGGAGCUGCUUUGCUCAAAAGAUACUUAUUAACUAUGGCAUUCUGUCUUGUUUAUUAAUUAGUUUGCAUCUUCAAAAUGCUUUGAAGAUGAAAAGAGCUGCUCUGGAGCAAAGUUUCUGUAGCUGCUACGGCUAGAACACCGCACAGACCAUGCUCCACAGCCCUGUGGGUGAUGGUGAGCCUUAAACAAAGAACGGAGUCCUGCCCCAGCGCUGCUGGAAGAUUCCAGCACAAUAGCAAAGACAAAACAAAACACCAGCAAAAUGCAGUGCAGAUGAAUCAGACCCUUCUGAGCUUGACGGCUGGAAAUCUGCAGGACUCUGGGGACUUACAGAGCCUCGGGCCAUCCAGGAGCGCUCAUUGCCUGGACUCCAAGGCGUGAGAAGCAUCUGAAUCAAGAAGCCUUUUGUUGCUCUCAAGGCUGCUCUCCGUGGACCCCAUGAGCUUCAUCUGAGUUGUUCCCCUUUGUAUGGAUGGGGAAACUGAGGGGAACCCUAACCAGAAAUCCCCUCUUCUAGCAAACCCUCCCUUGCGGAGUUGGUGCCUGCUUUCUCAGAGCUCCCAGGCAUGGUCUGAGCGGUUCACGCCAGGUUUACCUAGAUCCCUGCUGGCAGAGAAGCCCGUCCCUCAUAGGGGGACAGCAGAAACGGAGCACCAGGAAGCCCACAAAUCCCAAACCUCGGGGCUCCUCACUUGCAUGGCCCCGGCUGAGGCAGUGGGACCACUCUAGCAAUCUUGUAUUUGGGAGCUUGUAUUCUUUUGAAGAGGGCCCCCCAAAUUGGAUAAGCUUCAGAUCACAUAAAGCUGGGCCACCCCAGCUCAACUGCCUUGUUCAUCACUGUGUCCCCAAAGGCUACUCGCACUGUGCCUGACACAUAGCAUGAGACUUAAUUCUGCAGAGUAGAGAGGCGAGUGAAUAGGAAGAAGGAUAUAUGAAUGGGCAGAGUUGGGGAGAGGAAGGGAGGAAGGGGGAAAACAUAGAUGAAUGCAUGGUUGGAUGGAGGGAGGGAAGGAUAGAGGGGCGACAGAUAAUGGAUGGAUAAAUGUAGAGUUGGAUGAAGGGAAGGAGAGAAACAGUGUAAGAAGGAGAAAGGGAAGGACGGAAGGAGAAAACAUGGCUGAACAGUUGGAUGGACUGAUGGGUGGGUGAGUGGGAGGUGGAUGGAUGGAUGGAUGGAUGAGUGGGCAGAUGGAUGGAUGAAUAGGUGGAUGGAUUGAAGGGAGAAGACAUGUAGGUGAACUAGUGAUAGCCAAGUUAGAACUGAAGAGAAAUUGAAAGCUUUUGACUAAAGGGGAAGGGUUCUAGUUUAACUGGUAGCUGAAAAGGAGCUCAAAAUUCAGGCAACUCAAAUCCCUCCAUUUCUACACAUGAAAAUACUGAGAGCUUCAUGUAGUAGAGAAUUUCCAGUAAAGAACCACCCACAAAGAGAGAAGGGCUUACAGAGAGUGCUCCAUGGCCACAGAUAAAAACAUCAACUGAUAUUCAAAGCAGGAAAAACAAACUACAAGUUCUGUUUAUAUUCCCAGUUUCAAGGUUAACUGUUUAUUUUCAAAGUUCCAUCUUCAUGAGUUCAUUGACCACCAUCAAUAAAUUUAGAAGUGCUUGAAUUUCA
ensembl:lncRNA